rnacentral:rRNA from 1 species
UACGGAGGGUGCUAGCGUUGCUCGGAAUCACUGGGCGUAAAGCGCACGUAGGCGGCUUUUUAAGUCAGGGGUGAAAUCCUGGAGCUCAACUCCAGAACUGCCUUUGAUACUGAGAAGCUUGAGUCCGGGAGAGGUGAGUGGAACUGCGAGUGUAGAGGUGAAAUUCGUAGAUAUUCGCAAGAACCCCAGUGGCGAAGGCGGCUCACUGGCCCGGCACUGACGCUGAGGUGCGAAAGCGUGGGGAGCAAACAGG